UGAUGUGUCUAGUAUCAAUUUGAAAUAUGUUGGUUUCCAGGUAUACAAAAAGAUGGAAAAAUCUUCAGUAAAAUAUGUUCAGGGGCAGCCUGAACUCUGAAUUUUGACCCCAUCAUGUUGAACCUCUGUCUCUGAACCCCAGUGAGGUAUUGGGUUCUGCUGUAUUUGGGAUAUUUCCAUUGCCUCCAGAGGAAAGCCUGUAGAUCCUGGGAUGUUCUGUGCGAGGCAUCUGGACAUGCUGACAACCAACGCGUGUAAAUACUUGUCUGGAAAAUUUGAAUGUAUCCCUGCAGCAUGGCACACAAGGAAGACACCAUCAAAGGAAUUUCUGCAUUAAGUUCAGGGAGGACGACUGAUGAACUAGGGUAUCCUUCCUGCUCUCACUCCUCUCCUGCCUUGUCCUCUGGUGUCUCCAUUUCUCCUACUGCUCCGACUACCCAUGUCUCUUCCACUGCCUCUCUCAUCCCCUUUUCUCUCUGUGGUUUAUUGCCACUUGCUGAUGCAGCCAGGCUAGAGAGAAGCAGCAUGUUUGGAAGAAGAGAAGGUGCCUUUGCUUUCCCAGGCUUGUCAUGCCUGCAGGUCAGCACAUACUCUUGGGAAGGAAGGAUAAGAGGAAGGAUAAUAUUACUGAGACAUCCCAGUAAAGAAGAAAAUCAGUCUUUCAUGGACAGGUGUCAACAUGGGAAAUGACUCUGUAAUUAGAGAAAACACAGUCUUUCAACUUGCUUUGCAUAUAUAGUCUAUGGAAACUAUGCAAAUAAAGCCUAAUGCAGAAUCAAACAA